ACUGACAGUCAUAAAGCCUUGGAUGAAUGAUACUUCUUGAGUCUUGACUCAACGAGAUAAGGAACAAGCACAAUAGAGCAACAAGGGCUGAGGAGGCACCGCAAGUAGGCACAAAAGCACAGAGUUGUGGCAAGUAAAGGGCUGUUGCAGGCUUGAGGCUGAGGUGCAGUUGCGCAUAAAGAGAGAGAAGAGUGAUGCAGGGAAAGAAAGAAAGAGAGAAGGGAUCAAGGGAUCACUGGGA
rnacentral:misc_RNA from 1 species